AUUGAACGCUGGCGGCAGGCCUAACACAUGCAAGUCGAGCGGAUGAAGGGAGCUUGCUCCUGGAUUCAGCGGCGGACGGGUGAGUAAUGCCUAGGAAUCUGCCUGGUAGUGGGGGAUAACGUCCGGAAACGGGCGCUAAUACCGCAUACGUCCUGAGGGAGAAAGUGGGGGAUCUUCGGACCUCACGCUAUCAGAUGAGCCUAGGUCGGAUUAGCUAGCUGGUGGGGUAAAGGCCUACCAAGGCGACGAUCCGUAACUGGCCUGAGAGGAUGAUCAGUCACACUGGAACUGAGACACGGUCCAGACUCCUACGGGAGGCAGCAGUGGGGAAUAUUGGACAAUGGGCGAAAGCCUGAUCCAGCCAUGCCGCGUGUGUGAAGAAGGUCUUCGGAUUGUAAAGCACUUUAAGUUGGGAGGAAGGGCAGUAAGUUAAUACCUUGCUGUUUUGACGUUACCAACAGAAUAAGCACCGGCUAACUUCGUG
rnacentral:rRNA from 1 species